GGCAGACUUGGAGACGUGCGUCCCGAACCUGGCGCAGCAGACACCGCCCCCUGGUCAGGCCGCGGGGGAGACGCAGGCGAAUCGACGGGCUCGCACUGGGGAGCACCCUCCCCCCGCCGCCGCCAGAUCUGCAGGUCGGGAAGCGCCAAGUCUCCCGGGUCGCAAGAAAACCCGGACCAGCACGUUCAUCACCUCCUUGCUCCCGCUGCUGCCAUCUUGACAGUUUUCCCCCCUUCGCUCAAGUCCUUUAAAAACACUAGCGGGAGAGAAGAGGGGCGCGCAAACCGAGUCACGGGGAGGGAAAAGGGAAGCGCCUGGCCCAGCUCGGAAGCAGAUCCGGAGUCACCGGGAAGGCGGCCGCCCCGCUGCACAGCUCCGGCGCCUACCUCGGUUCCUUCCCUUCAGGGACGGGGGGAGAGGACGCACAAUCCCGCGCGGGCCCGGGGCACGGCGAA